rnacentral:misc_RNA from 1 species
UGGGUUCUAUAAGAGAGCAGGCUGAACC